rnacentral:rRNA from 1 species
GACAGAGGGUGCGAACGUUGUUCGGAAUUACUGGGCGUAAAGCGCGUGUAGGCGGUCCGGAAAGUCGGGUGUGAAAGCCCUGGGCUCAACCUAGGAAGUGCACUCGAAACUCCCGGACUCGAGUCCCGGAGAGGAAGGCGGAAUUCUCGGUGUAGAGGUGAAAUUCGUAGAUAUCGAGAGGAACAUCGGUGGCGAAGGCGGCCUUCUGGACGGUGACUGACGCUGAGACGCGAAAGCGUGGGGAGCAAACAGG